ACUCAUAGCAGCCAAGCAAAGUGCAUUCUGGGAUUUGGUGUCUUUCAUCCACAUGAGCCAAAAACACAUUUUAUGGCUUUUCUCGGCCUAGAAGACACCAAUUUCUGAAAUGAAAAUUGUUUUUUUCACAUUUCUUCU